rnacentral:rRNA from 1 species
GAUGAACGCUGGCGGCGUGCCUAAUACAUGCAAGUCGAGCGAACAGACGAGGAGCUUGCUCCUCUGACGUUAGCGGCGGACGGGUGAGUAACACGUGGAUAACCUACCUAUCAGACUGGGAUAACUUCGGGAAACCGGAGCUAAUACCGGAUAAUAUAUUGAACCGCAUGGUUCAAUAGUGAAAGACGGUUUUGCUGUCACUUAUAGCUGGAUCCGCGCCGCAUUAGCUAGUUGGUAAGGUAACGGCUUACCAAGGCAACGAUGCGUAGCCGAACUGAGAGGGGGGUCGGCGACACUGGAACUGAGACACGGACAAGGCUCCUGCGGGAGGGAGCAGUAGGGAAUCUUACGCAGUGGGCGAGAGCCUGACGGAGCAGCGCCGCGUGAGUGAUGAAGGUCUUCGGAUCGUAAAACUCUGUUAUGAGGGAAGAACAAAUGUGUAAGUAACUAUGCACGUCUUGACGGUACCUAAUCAGGAAGCCACGGCUAACUACGUG